CCUAUAGCUUAGUCGGUAGAGCGCCAGACUAAUAAUCUGGAGGUCGUGGGUUCGAUCCCCACUGGGAC
rnacentral:tRNA from 1 species